rnacentral:lncRNA from 1 species
UUUUUUUUUUCUUUUCAGAUGGAGCUUUGCCCUUGUUGCCAAGGCUGGAGUGCAAUGGCACCAUCUUGGUUCACCGCAACCUCCACCUCCUGGGUUCAAGAGAUUAUCCUGCCUCAGUCUCCCAAGUAGCUGGGAUUAUAGGCAUGUGCCAUCAUGCCCGGCUAAUCUCCAUGUUGGUCAGGCUGGUCUCAAACUCCUGACCUCAGGUGAUCUGCCCGCCUCGGCCUCCCAAAGUGCUGGGAUUAUAGGCGUGAGCCACCGCGCCCGGCUGUUCUACUUCCUUUUCAUAUUCAGAGAUCAAGAAUGACUUUAUCAAAUGUCUUAUUGAAAUCGAGACAAGCUGAGCACAUCAUAUACUCCUACCUCUGCCAGUCUCAUAACCUAACCAGGAAAAGAUGUGUAUGAUAUGAUAGAAUGAUUAAGUAGUUCACUUUUUGUACGACUUUGUUAAAUAACCUUCUUUAUGCAAAGGUACCAAAGUUCCACACGCACAGACACAUGCACACACACACAUGCACUUACACACAAGUACUUGUAACACAUAUUUGUUUUUAAAUUUCAUGUCACAUCCAAGUUAAGAAAGCAUAGUUUAGGUCUACUGAUCUAAAACAGAGAUAGAGGAAAUAUCUAAUUUCUUUGACCAAUAUAGAUUACUACCUUUGCUAUUUCAAUGAAAAAAAGAAAAAUUCAACUUAAAGAGUUUUAAGUAUUACUGGAGAAUUUCACUGGGCAUAGUGUAAACAGAGGGUUAUUUAUAAUUCUAUGUAUUCUAAACAUGUAUUUUGGGCUGUUUCAGCUAUCUAGAAUUGUCUUGAAUUUAAGUAUGAGAGAUGUAGGAGAGAGGUGGCACGGGUCUAGAAAGUAAAUCAUUUUCUGGCUGGAAGCUCACACCUGUAAUCCCAGCACUUUGGGAGGCUGGGGCAGGUGGACUGCCUGAGCUCAGGAGCUCAAGACCAGCCUGGGCAACAUGGUGAAAACACAUCUGUUAAAAAAAUACAAAAAAUCAGCUGGGCAUAGUGGUGCGCACCUGUAGUCCCAGCUACUCGGGAGGCGGAGGCAGGAGGAUCCCUUGAACUUGGGAGAUCACGCCACUGCACUCCAGCCUGGGUAACAGAGCGAGACUCUGUUUCAAAAAAAAAAAUAGUAAUAAAAAUAAGAAAGUAUUUUAUGAACACAAGCAUAUAAUACAUUUACUUGUAUAUCAUGUGGCAGCAGAUGUGAGAAUGCAGAAAGCUAUAAGGCCCGGGACACUCAGUGCAGGCAGCCUUGGCCUCACCCACAGGGCCUCCUACCACCCCAUGUUGAGAGGUGACAUAAUCAUGGUGGCAGCAACAGCGGUCACUGCAUGCCAGGCGCUCUCCCAAGUGCUUACAGUCAUCACCCAGUUAAUCCUCCCAACGACCCACAGAGGUAAAUCCUCCUGCUAUUCUUCUUCCGCAUAAGAAAUACAGCCUUGGGGUUAAAGAGCUUCUCAAGUCACAGAGCAGUAAGUGUGGCAGAAGCCCCCAACCCCAGAUGCACCUGACACCAAGGCCUACGCUCUCAACCACUGGGUUUGCAAGGCAAGUAUAUAAAGAUGAUUGCCUGAAAAUAAUUAAAAUAACAAAGUCUGGGUUAAGUUAAAGGAAUGAGCCUUUGUUCUCAUGGAAAUCACUUCCAGGAAAUGUCUCAUGUCCUGAGCUAAGUCAGUCUCAUGUCCUGAGCUAAGUCAACAG